rnacentral:misc_RNA from 1 species
AAGUCGUAACAAGGUUUCCGUAGGUGAACCUGCGGAAGGAUCAUUAACAAAUCUAACAACAACCCUGUUGAACCGUUCUUUUCCCUUGGUGCUCGCCGACCGCCGCGCACGCACAUACACCUAACCCUACAUCAUACUGCUGCUGCAUUGCAUUGCAUUGCGGUACGGUACGGUACGGUACGGUACGGUGUGUGUUAAGCUAAGCUAAGCCUAAGCCUAAGCCAGGCCAAGGGAGCAUUCUUUAAAUACGCUUUUGAUUGACAUGCCUAUGAUGAUAACAAUGUUAAGCAACUUUUAACAAUGGAUCUCUUGGCUCUU